rnacentral:rRNA from 1 species
GAUGAACGCUGGCGGCGUGCUUAACACAUGUAAGUCGAACGAAACACCUUAUUUGAUUUUCUUCGGAACUGAAGAUUUGGUGAUUGAGUGGCGGACGGGUGAGUAACGCGUGGGUAACCUGCCCUGUACAGGGGGAUAACAGUCAGAAAUGACUGCUAAUACCGCAUAAGACCACAGCACCGCAUGGUGCAGGGGUAAAAACUCCGGUGGUACAGGAUGGACCCGCGUCUGAUUAGCUGGUUGGUGAGGUAACGGCUCACCAAGGCGACGAUCAGUAGCCGGCUUGAGAGAGUGAACGGCCACAUUGGGACUGAGACACGGCCCAAACUCCUACGGGAGGCAGCAGUGGGGAAUAUUGCACAAUGGGGGAAACCCUGAUGCAGCGACGCCGCGUGAGUGAAGAAGUAUUUCGGUAUGUAAAGCUCUAUCAGCAGGGAAGAAAAUGACGGUACCUGACGAAGAAGCCCCGGCUAACUACGUG